UUACAAAAUUAUUUUCUAUUCACUUUGUAACUGAAAACUACAAUUAUUUAAAUGAGAAUAAACUGUAAUUUAAAAUAAUUCACUGCAAAUUCAAGACAAAAUAAACAUAUAAAUAUGAUUAUGAUUUCGAUUUCACAUUUCCAUUCCAUUGUAAAUGAACAAUCUACUGCGACUUCCACCCUACACUCUCAAUCUUAGAUUCCCACAUAAAAAUUUCCACUCUAAUUUAAAAAGUAAACAGUACCAAAAUUGACGUUAUAUUAGAUGAGAAACAAACUGUGUCUUAAAAUACAAGCCUAACAUUAUAAUCAAGAAUGGUAGAUUCCAAGAAAGAGAGAUGAGGAGAUAAUGAUACUGAUAAUUAAAGAUCUACUGCGACUUCCACCCUACACUCUCAAUCUUAGAUUCCCACAUAAAAAUUUCCACUCUAAUUUAAAAAGUAAACAGUACCAAAAUUGACGUUAUAUUAGAUGAGAAACAAACUGUGUCUUAAAAUACAAGCCUAACAUUAUAAUCAAGAAUGGUAGAUUCCAAGAAAGAGAGAUGAGGAGAUAAUGAUACUGAUAAUUAAAGAUGAUUGGCGGAAGCAGGAAGAGCCACAAGGGAUUCUUGAAUUGGGAGAAAUAAUAAUGAUGGAGGAUACCUUGAAUCUACCUGCCUCGGUCGGGGUGUUGUACUGGGGAAGUCAACAACUUAUGAAAGAGAUUCAAUUCAUUCAACAAUGUUUUAGGUAUGUGUAGUAGUCAAAAUUUUAAAUUAGAUGUGCUUUUACUUAUUCUAAAAGGCCCAAUUAGGCAACUGGCGAGGCAGAACUACAGCUAAAUUCCUAAUUAUGAUUUCCAUAGCCAAUGAGUUUAAAAGCUGUGUGGCUGUCAUUGGAACAGUAGGGGAAAGAAAGAAAGAAAGAAAUAUAAAAAUACAAAAACAGCAAAGUCCCUCUGUCUAAAGUGAUGGUUAUUAUUAUUAUUUUUUUGUUGUUGGGGUUGUUGGGCGGAGAAGUAACGAUUAAAACGUGAAACGACUAGAUUAAUCAAAUCCUUGAAGAAAAAUACAGUUGCAUUCUCCAGUUUUCACUUCGCAGAUUUGGACAGAUAUGAAAUUAUAAACUUCACAUUAUUAUUAUUAUUUUCAAUAAGAAAAUAACUGGCUUGUAUGCGGAGAAAAUUUCGGAUUGCUUCGUGCGAGGUUGUGAAGCGGAAAAUGGAAAUGCAAUGUAUGAAGAGUUACUGGUGACUCUUGGAGUGGCUUUAAGGUGAAGAUUGUUUUCUUUAGUGGAAUUGACAUAUACCAAUAUGUUAGAACUGAUGCUUGUUACUUAAAGUUUGGGCUUAGUUAAGAAGAUAAUGGGCCUAUAGGAGUCGCUGACAGCAAGUGGGCUUACCAAGCCCAGCCCAUCAAUAAACCUUUCGCGUCAAUAAAACACACUUUCCGAAUUUUUAACAAGUAGACAUUCGACAUGGUAAAAGUAUUAGGACGACAGUGUGAAAUUAACACAUAUCAAUUAACUCUUAUUAUUUUGUAAUAGUCAAUGAUUUCCUCCAAUAUAAAAAAUCUAAAGAAACAAAGGGUUUAACGGAUCAUUUGUUUGAUAUUUGAUCUUGG
rnacentral:lncRNA from 1 species